rnacentral:misc_RNA from 1 species
GAUGAAGAACGUAGCGAAAUGCGAUAAGUAAUGUGAAUUGCAGAAUCCAGUGAAUCAUCGAAUCUUUGAACGCACAUUGCGCCCGCCAGCAUUCUGGCGGGCAUGCCUGUUCGAGCGUCAUUUCAACCCUCGACCUCCCCUUGGGGAGGUCGGCGUUGGGGACCGGCAGCACACCGCCGGCCCUGAAAUGGAGUGGCGGCCCGUCCGCGGCGACCUCUGCGUAGUAAUACAGCUCGCACCGGAACCCCGACGCGGCCACGCCGUAAAACACCCAACUUCUGAACGUUGACCUCGAAUCAGGUAGGACUACCCGCUGAACUUAAGCAUAUCAUAAGCGGAGGA